GUCCGUUCAGGGCCAAGGGUGCCCUCUUCCUGCUGCUGCUGCCAGUGCUGCUCCGCUCCGCGCCAAAACUGCACAUGGGAAACAACAGCGUGGUGGCUGAGGAUGGAAUCUCUGGAGCCGUAACUGACAGUAUCUACUCCCUGUGCCACCCCAACGGACAUACUGGCCGUAUCUCUGAGAAACUGCAAUGAAAUACUAAUAGGAAGAAAGAAACAGGAGCCUCUACUAUCCAAAGUACACCUCCAUUACUGUUCCAGUUUAUUAACCCUGCACUUUGCCUUCAAGAUCUCCCUCUCUCUCUCAACACCUUGAUACUGCAUGUAUCAGUGUUACACUGACCUCUGCCAGGGUGCAUAAUACCUCUGGGAAGCUUUGUAUGCGGCAGGCAGCUGAGGCUGCCGUGGCCUUGCAGAUGCAGCGCGAGCCGACAUACAGUUUUGAUCCAGCAGCUCCGGGCUAACCUGACCCGAGCAUACCACCAAUGGGCACGGGCUGGCUUACGCCAAGCUAUCUGUUUCAGAAGCCUGUGUCAGAGUCCUCAAACAGGGCAACCAGUGUUGGUGAGACAAUGAUUAUUGCCUCCCCAACCCCCUCCUGCAUAACUUAUACUGAGGUCAUUCUUGAGCUGACAGAGAGAUGACUGCAUUUACAAUCAGCAAAAUGAAGACUAAUAGAAAUAUAUAGUUUAUUAUAGAAUAUUACUCAUUUUAUUUUCAUUCAGUUCCUGAUAUAGUUAUUUAAUGUGAAGUAAAAUGUACACCUGUACAUCUAUCAUCCAACAAUAACGAAGAGGGAGAAAAUCUGAAGAUGUCAAAAUAACAAUUAACAAGUAAAUGUAACAGAUUUAUUAAAGAUAUUGAUACUAAACUGUAAUCAUUCAUGAAAUUACACAGCUGACCAGCAAUGACCAGAGUGAUGCUAUAUUAGUCGUGAUGACAUUUUAUUACAUAUGGCUGCAACAUCAAGUACUUUUUACAUCGUACAACUAAUCCCCCUCCUCUGUCCAACCAGCUUAUGUUAAAGGGGGAUAUGUGCCCUGAGACCAGCCUGUAAUAGAGAGAGAUGAUAGAGGGAUGGCCUAUCGUGACACUGCUGAGAGGUUUUGAUUGGCAUCGUAGCUUGUUGCUUUGCCAUAGAUGAAAGUAAACAGCAACUGUUGCCACAAUCAGUAUUAAACAGUGGUUAAGGGGUCACGUGUGAUUUGCACUCGUAGUCUAAAAAUUUUUUUUUUUUUUAAACGUACUCUCUAGUGGUGGUUGUGCACUAUAUGAAAGACACAAGAGAGAUGAGACUGAUGAAACCUGACUGUAGUGUAUUAAGCAAAGUGGGGCUCUUUUUCUGGCUAGGAUCAGUAAUGAACUGUUGU